CUAUGGUUGAUCGAUGGAUGAUCUCUAUCAUUCUUCUUAAGAAGCCCUGAUGACCAACCAAUGCAUAGUUCACACUGAAUGCAAUUUGUGAAGAUACCAACGAUUUUAGUCUUUCGCUCCUAUCUGACUGGCUUUCUCAACGUAG